rnacentral:rRNA from 1 species
AUGAAGGCCUUCGGGUCGUAAAGCCCUGUCAGGUGGGAAGAAACAUAUCGGUGCUAAUAUCACCGAUGUUUGACGGUACCGCCGGAGGAAGCACCGGCUAACUCCGUGCCAGCAGCCGCGGUAAUACGGAGGGUGCAAGCGUUGUUCGGAAUUACUGGGCGUAAAGCGCGUGUAGGCGGUCGGGCAAGUCAGAUGUGAAAGCCUUCCGCUUAACGGAAGAAGUGCAUUUGAAACUACUCGGCUGGAGUACGGGAGAGGAGAGUGGAAUUCCCGGUGUAGAGGUGAAAUUCGUAGAUAUCGGGAGGAACACCAGUGGCGAAGGCGGCUCUCUGGUCCGAUACUGACGCUGAGACGCGAAAGCGUGGGGAGCAAACAGGAUUAGAUACCCUGGUAGUCCACGCCGUAAACGAUGGGCACUAGGUGUAGGAGGUAUUGACCCCCCCGGUGCCGCAGCUAACGCAUUAAGUGCCCCGCCUGGGGAGUACGGCCGCAAGGUUAAAACUCAAAGGAAUUGACGG